rnacentral:rRNA from 1 species
AGUGAACGCUGGCGGUAGGCCUAACACAUGCAAGUCGAACGGCAGCACAGUAAGAGCUUGCUCUUACGGGUGGCGAGUGGCGGACGGGUGAGGAAUACAUCGGAAUCUACUUUUUCGUGGGGGAUAACGUAGGGAAACUUACGCUAAUACCGCAUACGACCUACGGGUGAAAGCAGGGGAUCUUCGGACCUUGCGCGAUUGAAUGAGCCGAUGUCGGAUUAGCUCGUUGGCGGGGUAAAGGCCCACCAAGGCGACGAUCCGUAGCUGGUCUCAGAGGAUGAUCAGCCACACUGGAACUGUGACACGGUCCAUACUCCUACGGGAGGCAGCAGUGGGGAAUAUUGGACAAUGGGCGCAAGCCUGAUCCAGCCAUACCGCGUGGGUGAAGAAGGCCUUCGGGUUGUAAAGCCCUUUUGUUGGGAAAGAAAAGCAGCAGGUUAAUACCCCGCUGUUCUGACGGUACCCAAAGAAUAAGCACCGGCUAACUUCGUG